rnacentral:rRNA from 1 species
UUCCGGUUGAUCCUGCCGGAGGCGACCGCUUUUGGAGUUCGAUUAAGCCAUGCGAGUCGAGAGCCUUAGGGGCUCGGCAUACUGCUCAGUAACACGUGGAUAACCUGCCCUAUUGUCUGGAAUAACCUCGGGAAACUGAGAACAAGGCCGGAUAACCCACAAUGCCUGGAACGGUUUGUGGGUGAAGAUAGGAUGGGUCUGCGGCGUAUCAGGUCGUAGGGGGUGUAAUGGACCUCCUAGCCAUCGACGCGUACGGGUGUUGGGAGACAUAGCCCGGAGAUGGAUUCUGAGACACGAAUCCAGACCCUACGGGGUGCAGCAGGCGCGAAAACUUCACACUGCAGGAAACUGUGAUGAGGGAACUCCAAGUGCAUGCACUAUGUGUAUGCUUUUCUUAACUAUUAAUCGGUUUUGGAAUAAGGGCUGGGAAAGACCGGUGCCAGCCGCCGCGGUAAUACCGGCAGCUCAAGUGGUCGUCGCUUUUAUUGGGCCUAAAACGUCCGUAGCCUGUUUGGUAAAUCUGUGGGUAAAUCAACCAGCUUAACUGGUUGAAUUCUGCAGAGACUGCCAGACUAGGGACCGGGAGAGGUGUGGGGUACUCUAGGGGUAGGGGUAAAAUCCUGUCAUCCUUAGAGGACCACCAGUUGCGAAGGCGCCACACUGGAACGGAUCCGACGGUCAGGGACGAAGCCUAGGGGCGCGAACCGGAUUAGAUACCCGGGUAGUCCUAGGUGUAAACGCUGUGAACUUGGUGUCGGGGAUCCGUAAUGGGUUCUCGGUGCCGGAGUGAAGAUGUUAAGUUCACUGCCUGGGGAGUACGGUCGCAAGGCUGAAACUUAAAGGAAUUGGCGGGGGAGCACUGCAACGGGAGGAGCGUGCGGUUUAAUUGGAUCAACGCCGGA